rnacentral:rRNA from 1 species
UGGGGAAUAUUGCACAAUGGACGGAAGUUUGAUGCAGCGACGCCGCGUGGAGGGUGUAGGCCUUCGGGUUGUGAACUCCUUUUUCUCGCGAAAAAGGCACAGUUUUGGCUGUGUUGAUGGUAGUGGGGGAAGAAGCGCCGGCUAACUACGUGCCAGCAGCCGCGGUAAUACGUAGGGCGCGAGCGUUGUCCGGAUUUAUUGGGCGUAAAGAGCUCGUAGGUGGUUCGUCGCGUCUGUCGUGAAAGCCAGCAGCUUAACUGUUGGUCUGCGGUGGGUACGGGCGGGCUUGAGUGCGGUAGGGGUGACUGGAAUUCCUGGUGUAGCGGUGGAAGGCGCAGAUAUCAGGAGGAACACCGAUGGCGAAGGCAGGUCACUGGGCCGUUACUGACACUGAGGAGCGAAAGCGUGGGGAGCGAACAGG